GAUCAUGGCUCAGGACGAACGCUGGCGGCGUGCCUAAUACAUGCAAGUAGAACGCUGAAGGAAGGAGCUUGCUCUUUCCGGAUGAGUUGCAAGCGGGUGAGUAACGCGUAGGUAACCUGCCUGGUAGCGGGGGAUAACUAUUGGAAACGAUAGCUAAUACCGCAUAACAGUAGAUAUCGCAUGAUAGCUGCUUGAAAGGUGCAAUUGCACCACUACCAGAUGG
rnacentral:rRNA from 1 species